rnacentral:rRNA from 1 species
CCUACGGGUGGCUGCAGUGGGGAAUAUUGCACAAUGGGGGAAACCCUGAUGCAGCGACGCCGCGUGAGUGAAGAAGUAUCCCGGUACGUAAAGCUCUAUCAGCAGGGAAGCUAAUGACGGUACCUGACCAAGACGCCCCGGCUAACUACGUGCCAGAAGCCGCGGCUAUACGUAGGGGGCAAGCGUUAUCCGGAUUUACUGGGUGUAAAGGGGGUGUAGACGGCAGCACAAGUCUGGAGUGAAAUGCCGGGGGUUAACCCCGGAACAGCUGUGGAAACUGUGCGGCUGGAGUGCAGGAGGGGUAAGCGGAAUGCGGAGUGUAGCGGUGAAAUGCGUAGAUAUUAGGAGGAACUCCGGUGGCGAAGGCAGCAUACUGGAGGGGAACUGACGUUGAGGCUCGAAAGCGUGGGGAGCAAACAGGAUUAGAUACCCUAGUAGUC